GCGCUCUUAGUUAGUUCGGUAGGACGUGGGUCUCCAAAACCCGAUGUCGUAGGUUCAAAUCCUACAGAGCUCC
rnacentral:tRNA from 1 species